rnacentral:tRNA from 1 species
CCGCGUUCGGGGCGCUGGCCGUGCGCCGCCGCGUACAGCACGGCGGCCCGGGUGAGCAUCUCGACCUGUCGAUGUUCGAGGCGAUAACGCUGA